GCAACCCGCGGAUUUCCGGAGGGAGCGGCUCCGCCUAGGGCCGCCAUCUUUACUAGGGGCAGCGCGGGCAGGCCAGCUCUCAGAGCGGCUUUUCCGCGUUUUGACCAGUCGAAAACGGCUCCGCAGAAGAAGUUUUGGUGGGGGUUUUCUCCUUUAUUUUUUCUUGGCCGUGGGUUGUUUCUGCACAGGUCCCAGGGAUGUGUCUGGAGAGGGAAAGCUAAGGGUUCCGGGCUGGCGCUCAGGGCAGAGUUGGCUACCGGGGAAGGAGGGCGCCUGAGGAGGGUUUUUUGAUAUCGCCCUGAUAAAGCCGCUUGGUUUGGGUCCUGAGCUGGGCAUCCAGGGACACGAUUCGGUUCCGUUUCUACAAGCAACAAUGAGACUCGCUGUCUAGGCAUCUUGUUCGAGCCGGAGGGUCCUUCUGGAACGCUCGCCCGAAUACGUCACGAUUUUUGCUCACGCUGUGCGCGAUCCUGCGGGCUCCUAAUGCGUUUUGUUUUAUUGCAACUGUAUCCCAAACGGCCGUGCUGUCGAGUGUCCUGCAGGGGCAAGGCAGUUUGCGCAACACGCAUGCUACGAGAAUGAGAUGUUGACCUUAUCAGUUUAUUUGCCUUUUUUAGGCAAAUGUUUACGUGUGUGUGCAUCCGGUUUUCAUCCCUCGAUGAUGCCCACUCCGCUAAAAAGGAAUCUAAUUAUCCAAAGAAGCCGCAGUUCAGGACUUAGCUUUCUUUCUGUGGUGAAAGAAUGAAAAAAAAAAAUGAAAUUCCCUAGUUGAAUUAUAAGUCUGGGAAACGGGAAAAGGUCACGUUGUUUUAGUUCAGUGGGUGGCGAUAUCUCGGUUUUAUUUGAGCUGCGUAGGUGCACACUCAGUGGAUCCUGGCUAUCCAAAGGUGAAUUCUGGAACGCCUUGGUGUGGGUGUUGCCAUGGCUACAGCGGCGGGGUGGGGGCGGAGAGUCAAUGAAUUGUGAGACCAAUAAAGCUGACAAGGCCUGGCCUCUGUGUUGCCUGAAUCCUUGGUGAUUGGCUGCCCUGGUUUGUGUAUCCAGGUUUUCUCCAUUGCUGUGCUCCUCUAAGAUUCCUGGAUUGAGCGACAUCUGCAUACAUGGCCUGACAGAUGCCUCCAGAAAUUACCACUAUCCACAGACUUCGGAGACUCUCCAGGAUCCGUGCGAAGACCACAAGUCUGUUAUUGUCAAACAUCACUGUGACAUCUAGCCCGGCCAUCUGUAAAUCCUGAAUGAUGGAACAGAAAUGAUGAAUCUUUGUUGUCAAUUUGCCUGGAUUUGGAAUCACCUAGGAGACACACCUCCUGCUGUGUCCGAGACAGCGUCUCCAAAGAACUUUUACGGAGGUUGGAAGACCAACCCUGCACAUGAGUGGUUUAUCCCACCGACUGAGGUCCCAAGCUAAAUCAAAAAAGUAAACACAGAGAGAACGGAACACCAGCAUUCAUGUCUGCUCUUUGACUGCAUAUGCAAUGUGACCAGCUGCAUGGGGCUCCCAGUACCACAGCUGGGGCCACCCAGGCUGCCAGACUUUCCCAUCAUGGUGGACUGUACCCUCAAAGUA